rnacentral:rRNA from 1 species
UACGGGGGGAGCAAGCGUUGUUCGGAUUUACUGGGCGUAAAGGGCGCGUAGGCGGCCAGUGCAAGUCAGUUGUGAAAUCUCCGAGCUUAACUCGGAAAGGUCAACUGAUACUGCUCGGCUAGAGUGCGGAAGGGGCAACUGGAAUUCUUGGUGUAGCGGUGAAAUGCGUAGAUAUCAAGAGGAACACCUGCGGCGAAGGCGGGUUGCUGGGCCGACACUGACGCUGAGGCGCGAAAGCUAGGGGAGCGAACGGG